rnacentral:rRNA from 1 species
CGGCGUCGAGCGGCGGACGGGUGAGUAAUGCCUAGGAAAUUGCCCUGAUGUGGGGGAUAACCAUUGGAAACGAUGGCUAAUACCGCAUAAUGCCUACGGGCCAAAGAGGGGGACCUUCGGGCCUCUCGCGUCAGGAUAUGCCUAGGUGGGAUUAGCUAGUUGGUGAGGUAAUGGCUCACCAAGGCGACGAUCCCUAGCUGGUCUGAGAGGAUGAUCAGCCACACUGGAACUGAGACACGGUCCAGACUCCUACGGGAGGCAGCAGUGGGGAAUAUUGCACAAUGGGCGCAAGCCUGAUGCAGCCAUGCCGCGUGUGUGAAGAAGGCCUUCGGGUUGUAAAGCACUUUCAGUCGUGAGGAAGGUGGUAGUGUUAAUAGCACUAUCAUUUGACGUUAGCGACAGAAGAAGCACCGGCUAACUCCGUGCCAGCAGCCGCGGUAAUACGGAGGGUGCGAGCGUUAAUCGGAAUUACUGGGCGUAAAGCGCAUGCAGGUGGUUUGUUAAGUCAGAUGUGAAAGCCCGGGGCUCAACCUCGGAAUAGCAUUUGAAACUGGCAGACUAGAGUACUGUAGAGGGGGGUAGAAUUUCAGGUGUAGCGGUGAAAUGCGUAGAGAUCUGAAGGAAUACCGGUGGCGAAGGCGGCCCCCUGGACAGAUACUGACACUCAGAUGCGAAAGCGUGGGGAGCAAACAGGAUUAGAUACCCUGGUAGUCCACGCCGUAAACGAUGUCUACUUGGAGGUUGUGGCCUUGAGCCGUGGCUUUCGGAGCUAACGCGUUAAGUAGACCGCCUGGGGAGUACGGUCGCAAGAUUAAAACUCAAAUGAAUUGACGGGGGCCCGCACAAGCGGUGGAGCAUGUGGUUUAAUUCGAUGCAACGCGAAGAACCUUACCUACUCUUGACAUCCAGAGAACUUUCCAGAGAUGGAUUGGUGCCUUCGGGAACUCUGAGACAGGUGCUGCAUGGCUGUCGUCAGCUCGUGUUGUGAAAUGUUGGGUUAAGUCCCGCAACGAGCGCAACCCUUAUCCUUGUUUGCCAGCGAGUAAUGUCGGGAACUCCAGGGAGACUGCCGGUGAUAAACCGGAGGAAGGUGGGGACGACGUCAAGUCAUCAUGGCCCUUACGAGUAGGGCUACACACGUGCUACAAUGGCGCAUACAGAGGGCAGCAAGCUAGCGAUAGUGAGCGAAUCCCAAAAAGUGCGUCGUAGUCCGGAUUGGAGUCUGCAACUCGACUCCAUGAAGUCGGAAUCGCUAGUAAUCGUGGAUCAGAAUGCCACGGUGAAUACGUUCCCGGGCCUUGUACACACCGCCCGUCACACCAUGGGAGUGGGCUGCAAAAGAAGUAGGUA